GAUGAACGCUAGCUACAGGCUUAACACAUGCAAGUCGAGGGGUAACGAGAGGGAAGCUUGCUUUCCUUGUCGACGACCGGCGCACGGGUGAGUAACGCGUAUCCAACCUGCCCCCAACUAGGGAAUAACCUUGCGAAAGUAAGACUAAUACCCUAUAAUUUCCUCAGAUGUCAUCUGACGAGGAAUAAAGAUUUAUCGGUUGUGGAUGGGGAUGCGUCUGAUUAGCUUGUUGGCGGGGUAACGGCCCACCAAGGCAACGAUCAGUAGGGGUUCUGAGAGGAAGGUCCCCACAUUGGAACUGAGACACGGUCCAAACUCCUACGGGAGGCAGCAGUGAGGAAUAUUGGUCAAUGGGCGGAAGCCUGAACCAGCCAAGUAGCGUGCAGGAUGACGGCCCUAUGGGUUGUAAACUGCUUUUAUACAGGAAUAAAGUUAGCCACGUGUGGUUAUUUGUAGGUACUGUAUGAAUAAGGACCGGCUAAUUCCGUGCCAGCAGCCGCGGUAA
rnacentral:rRNA from 1 species